rnacentral:rRNA from 1 species
GAUGAACGCUGGCGGCGUGCCUAAUACAUGCCAGUCGAGCGAACGGACGAGAAGCUUGCUUCUCUGAUGUUAGCGGCGGACGGGUGAGUAACACGUGGAUAACCUACCUAUAAGACUGGGAUAACUUCGGGAAACCGGAGCUAAUACCGGAUGAUAUUUUGAACCGCAUGGUUCAAAAGUGAAAGACGGUCUUGCUGUCACUUAUAGAUGGAUCCGCGCUGCAUUAGCUAGUUGGUAAGGUAACGGCUUACCAAGGAAACGAUGCAUAGCCGACCUGAGAGGGUGAUCGGCCACACUGGAACUGAGACACGGUCCAGACUCCUACGGGAGGCAGCAGUAGGGAAUCUUCCGCAAUGGGCGAAAGCCUGACGGAGCAACGCCGCGUGAGUGAUGAAGGUCUUCGGAUCGUAAAACUCUGUUAUUAGGGAAGAACAUAUGUGUAAGUAACUGUGCACAUCCUGACGGUACCUAAUCAGAAAGCCACGGCUAACUACGUG